UAGGGAAUUUUGGGCAAUGGGCGAAAGCCUGACCCAGCAACGCCGCGUGUGGGAUGAAGGCCCUCGGGUCGUAAACCACUGUCAGGAGGAAAGAAAAGUCGGCCGGAUAAUACUCGGUCGACCUGACGGUACCUCCAAAGGAAGCACCGGCUAACUCCGUGCCAGCAGCCGCGGUAAUACGGAGGGUGCAAGCGUUGUUCGGAAUUACUGGGCGUAAAGCGCGUGUAGGUGGUCGAGUAAGUCGAAUGUGAAAGCCCCGGGCUCAACCCGGGAAGUGCAUCCGAAACUGCUCGACUAGAGUCCCGGAGAGGAAGGCAGAAUUCCCAAUGUAGGGGUGAAAUCCGUAGAUAUUGGGAGGAAUACCGGUGGCGAAGGCGGCCUUCUGGACGGUGACUGACACUCAGACGCGAAAGCGUGGGGAGCAAACAGGGUUAGAUACCCAUGUAGUCCCUGAGCGGGCUGGCAAGGCGCAU
rnacentral:rRNA from 1 species